CGAUACAAGAUAACUAAACCAAAUUGAUCUUCUUGCUGCAUUUGAUGGUAGAUGUGUCUCCUUGAAUCCUUCAUCCUUUUCCGUGCAAACAGCGGCAGGAUGGCUGGAAGGCUUGAUCUAAGAACUCCAAAGAAGAAAGGUUGAUGGAAGCGGAUAUGUGAAGAGAAAGGAUAGCGACACUAGGAUUAAGACCUCUCCUAGAUUUGAUGGGAUGUGGAAAAGAGAUCUGUAGAGGAAUAUGAUAUCGUGCUAGGAUUAGUACCUCUCCUAGACUUAUGGAGAAGAAGAAGGAGAGAGAGAAAGAGAGAAGCUUGAAGAGAACUUAGGGUUGGCUUUAUUGAAGAAGAUGAAGGUCUUGGGGUUCUAUUUAUAGAGUGGAAAGGUUAAGAUUUCAUGAAGAGAGAGGUAGGAGCGUGAAUAAAGACCCUUGGAUCUUCAUAUUGAUUCUCCUCUAUUGAUCUUUAAAUCAUGUUCACACUAGAAUAGAAGCUGGUUGCUUGAUUCACUUAAGUCUGAUCCAAUUUGAGUCUAAUUUGAGUCAUAUGAAUCCAAACUCCCAAUUAC
rnacentral:lncRNA from 1 species